GACGAACGCUGGCGGCGUGCCUAAUACAUGCAAGUCGAGCGGACGGAUGGGAGCUUGCUCCCAGACCGUCAGCGGCGGACGGGUGAGUAACACGUGGGCAACCUGCCUGUAAGACUGGGAUAACUCCGGGAAACCGGGGCUAAUACCGGAUAACUCUUUCCCUCACAUGAGGGAAAGCUGAAAGAUGGCAUCUCGCUAUCACUUACAGAUGGGCCCGCGGCGCAUUAGCUAGUUGGUGAGGUAACGGCUCACCAAGGCGACGAUGCGUAGCCGACCUGAGAGGGUGAUCGGCCACACUGGGACUGAGACACGGCCCAGACCCCUACGGGAGGCAGCAGUAGGGAAUCUUCCGCAAAGGACGAAAGUCUGACGGAGCAACGCCGCGUGAGUGAUGAAGGUUUUCGGAUCGUAAAACUCUGUUGUCAGGGAAGAACAAGUACCGGAGUAACUGCCGGUACCUUGACGGUACCUGACCAGAAAGCCACGGCUAACUACGUG
rnacentral:rRNA from 1 species